UUGCGCCAUCUUCGGCAAUACGCAUUAUAGUUCAUCUGAUUGAAAAAUGGCGACAGACGUAGACAAAGCUGAGGCUCAAAUGAACCUUACUGCGCUUCAGCAGUUUGAUCCAUACAUUUCCUACAUUUUGCUUAAGGCUAGUCAAGUUGCUCUCUACUUGUUCAAUCAUGCUGCCAAUGAAUGGGAAAAGACAGAUAUUCAAGGCACUAUGUUUGUUUAUGAGAGGUCCUGAUUGCAUUAUUCCCAUCUAUGAACUUGGAAUGUCUUGUAAAGCCUUGAACCGACACACCACAUGAACUCUCAGCAAGUCAUACAAGUCAAUAUUUUAGUAAGACUUUUAGUGUGGGGAUAUUGUCACAAUUUUUUUAUUUACCAGGUAUUCUGAAUAUUUUGAGUUGUUAUAUAGAAAGAAAUAUUUUGUCUUAAAAUGGCAAUAUUUUAAAUGUCAGCAGUAUUGCAUAUUCUCUAGAAAUUAGCGAAAUAAAACCACAGCAAAGAUGUCAGCUAAUACUAAAGUGUUCAGAACUUCAGAGAUAUUUUGUGAAUGGUUGUUUACAGUGUAGAUAUAUAUAUCGUACCCAGGCCAUGACAUCACAACGAUGUCAAAAAUGUCACCAUGCAACAAGUUUCUCCAUGUCCAGGCAACUCUUUUAGAAUUUGAUUUGUCCACCACUUCUUUGUUGCCAGAUGACAGAUAAUUGAAACCUGUUUUAUUAUUAGUUGACACCAUAUGCUUUUAACUGCCUGUGGUUAAAAAAAAUGUUGCUUAGAUUUGUGUUUAUUUGGUGUGUCAUGUCUGAAUGAGGCUUUGUUCUGUUGCUAUGUAAAAAACCCUUGCUAUCUUGUAAUUUGGCAGUAUAAUGAAAUUCAAAUAUGUUUUUUCUCUGCAUGCAUUGGACACGUUUCCCUCCCAUCAGUCAUAUCUAUGGAAAAUAGAGUAGCGAAAUGGAUUAGUGUCAUCAAUAUUCAAUUUUGAUGAGUUCAAUGGAAUGGUUGCAUUUGCAGCAGAAAGAGGAAGUAAUUUCUGGUUCAUUAUGAGAUUGUCAGAAGUCCCCAAAAUAAUUGUACACAUUUCCUUGCAUUCAUUUUGAUAUGUAGUAAAUCAGGGUGAACAAUUAAUUUUACCAUAGUGCUUUGGUUCUGAAUAAGGCAACAUAUAGAUACAAAUUUUUAUUAUCAGUAUUUGUUUAUCAUCUUUAUAUUCAUUCAGUUUUAUGAUUAAUUUUCAUUUUGGUACUAAUAACGAGACAUUGCAGGCUAUCAGAACAUCAAUGUUGAGAUAACCUGCAAUGUAUACAAGCAUACUGUUCAACUGGAAGCAGGUUGUGAUUAAAUUAAAUUUUUGAAGGCUUGGUUCUGAAAUUGUGCCUGAGCAGCAAAUUUGAUGCCCUAUCCAGAAAUGUGAAAAAAGCAAUGAAAGUGGAAACAUUUUAUGGACUGGCUCCAUAUUCUGCGUACUAUUCUGUUUGAGCAUUUGUCAGAAAAACCUCUCUGCUCGUCAUCCCUCUCUGAAUCUGGCUCAGCUCAUCUUCGCCAUCAAGUCAAUCUCCUUGCCUUUUGUAUGACUUCAGGCAAUGUAUUGAUCGGCCAUCAGUGAAAACCUAUUGCAUGACAACCCCUUUGUGUGACGGCUACACUCCUGCCUUACGCCACUAGGCAGGGGCAGAGCAGAGUCGUUGAGAGAAAGGGAUGGUUGGGCUCAUCUUGAUUCAUAUUCAGGACACAUCUCACAUUCCCCUAUUGCUUGUAUAAAGUAGCAGUUGACCAUGCCUCAUUAAAUCUGUUUUAUUAAGAUGGUGUGUUCAGUAGAUGGUUGUCUUAAAUUAAGAAAAAUAAUAAAAGCAAUAAAAAAUGCAGGCAUGAUUACUGUUAGAAUGGUCCAAUUGAGAAAUAGUUA
rnacentral:lncRNA from 1 species